rnacentral:misc_RNA from 1 species
GAUCGGAAGGCUGGAAACUGUUGGGACCCUCUUCCCACAAAUAGCCAUCUCUUUCAACGGUGGUAAUGUUGCCACCGACUCGAUCUCUGGCCUCGGUGACAAUGACAUUGGCAGCAACAUCGCGGUGUUUGGUGACGAGAGCCUGAGCGAUGCAGAGACCGCUAAUUCCACCUCCUAUAAUCACACAGUCCGCCGGGGAAGAAUGUCCACCAUUGGAUUGGGCUUCGCCGCCGAUCUUAGAAGAAGAAAUAGUAGUUGACUGCUCUGUGAUAGAGCACCGGAGUUUUAAAGGUCUGUGUAUGGUUAUUAUGGGGUUGAGUUUGGAGAAUGAGGGAACGAGGGACGGUGUUGACCGGAGAAGAGAGAAGUCUGUGAUGGUUGCCAUGGCGGACUCAGAGAGAGAGAGGUAGCGCCGUUUCGUAGCGUGACAACG